rnacentral:lncRNA from 1 species
AGAAAGUGAUAACAGAGUGAGAGAGAGUGAUCUGUGAGAGAGAUAGAGAGAGAGAAUGAUCAGUGAGAGAAAACUAUGAGAGAGCGAGAGGGAGGGGGUGAGAGAGAGAGCAAUGGGGGUUCUAUUGGGGGGGGGACACACAGUGAGAGGAAGAGAGAGAGGGGGUUUUGCGAAAGGGGAGGGGGGCGCACAGUGAGAGGAAGAGAGGGGGGGAUUCUAUAGGGGGGAGAGGGCGCGCAGUGAGAGGAAGAAAGAGAGGGGUUCUGUGAAUGGGGGCCCCUCAAUGAGAGGAAGAGAGAGGUGGGGGUUUCUAGGGUUAGAGAGAGAAUGAGGGGUGGGGGGUUCUCGGGCGAGAGAGGGCGGUGGCAGUGGCAGUGGCAGUGGCGGCGGCUGGGUGGGCCACAGAAAGAGAGAGAAAGAGAAAGAGAAAGAUAGAGGUGGGGGUACUAGGUUAGAAAGAGAAUGAGGGUGGGGAAACAGGUUGAGCNACACAGUCAGAGUGAGAGGAAGAGAGAGAGGUUAGAGAGAGCAAGAGGGGUGGUGGGGUGUUCUCGGCCGGGUGAGGGCGGCGCCGGUGUCGCCGGGGUCGCCGGCGCCGGCGGGGUGGGCGACAGAGAGAGAGAGAGAGAGAGAGAGAUGUGGGGGCUUCUAGAGCUAGAUAGAGAAUGAGGGUGGGGAAACACCUCGGGCGAGAGAGGGCGGCGUCGGCGGCGGCGGCGGCGGCGUCGGCGUCUGCCAGAGAGAGAAAGCGAGAGGAAGAGAGCGAGAGAGAGAGAUCGAGCGAGAGAGGAGGGUAGGAGCUCGGGCGGGGUAGUAAUACAAAAAGAACACGGUGAAUGGUUCACCGUGUUCGGACCAUUCACCGUGUCUUUACACGAUGAAUGAUUCACCGUGUUUAAUGUAUUACCCGCACCUUUCGUAUAUCCACCAAGUCCGAAAGUCCAAGUCCCCAAGUCCCUCGUUUAUUAUAUCCACCAAGUCCCAACGUCCCACAAGAAAGGCAUCAGUAAAUACGGUGAACCAUUCACCCUGUCUAUACAUUGUGAAUGAUUUAUCGUGUUCAACUUAACUUUCUGACUGCAGCUGCGCUCGCGUGGUGCUUGCGUAGCAAAAGUAGAUCCAUUUUUAUAAAUAUAAAUUUUCUAGGACUUUUUAAAAUCAAUGUUUU